GUAUCAGUUACAAAAUAUUAUUACUUACUUAUAAGGCCCUUAAUGGCUUAGCUCCUGCGUACCUAACUAGUCUUCUACCACGCUACAAUCCAUCACGCUCCCUAAGGUCACAAAACGCUGGACUUUUGAUAGUACCUAGGAUAGCAAAGUCCACUAAAGGAGGUAGAGCUUUUUCGCAUUUGGCUCCCAAACUCUGGAAUAGCCUUCCUGAUAAUGUUCGGGGUUCAGACACACUUCCUCUGUUUAAAUCUAGAUUAAAAACACACCUCUUUGGUCAAGCAUUCAAAUAAUGCAUCUCAUAAUUUUGGACUCCAGUUAUAUCUGAUCAAAUGUGCAUUAUUAUUCUUUAACUUGGGUUAAACGAAUUAAUUUUACUUGGCUGGAACAGCAGUUACGCUAAUUAUGUCUCUAUUUGUUUCUCUGUUUUGCCACGGGGAUUUACACAAGCUCCAGUCUGGAUCCAGAACACCUGAGAAGAGAUGAUGCCAACCCCUCAGAGGACCUCAGAUGAUGCUAACCCAGAGACAACAUACAGAACUACCACAUUUUGCUCUAAGUUUGAUUGCAUAAUUGCUGUUAAUAGUGUUAAUCGUCUGUUUGUUUACGUCUUUUAUUGAUUUUUCUGAACAUUUCUGCCGUAUACACACAAACUGACAGUCACCACUGAUAAGCUACUACUAAAUAUUGUAGAAACUUAAUUUUCUGUAAAGUUGCUUUGCAAUGAUUUGUAUCGUAAAAAGCGCUAUACAAAUAAACUUGAAUUGAAUUGAAUUGAGGCUCAAAAGCGUGUGAAGGAAAUGAGUCAUCUAAUGCCCCAACAUGCGUUCCUGCAGCCUUCUAGAUCAUGCUCCUCAUCAAUACCACUUUCUGCACAGAAAGCAACUAAACACGCUCUCCUCGGCACCCCGUCCGGAGCCGGAUGUGGCGUCAUGCACCGAAGAGGAGGCUGCAUCAUGAUAGUGAGCUGUCCUUGGCUGUCAAGCCUUCGUCCCGAUGGUCCGAUCAAGAGGAGGAGAGAGCUCGCUGGAGGCCCGGCCCCCAAGCGCCCUGUUCUGCAUCAUGUCCCCUUUGUUCCUCUGGCCCAGUUGAUCCCCUUAUUUGGACCGGCACUGAGGAGCGACACCAUUUCAUACCUGCCGUUCAUUAUACUAGUAAUAAAAAACCACCUUGCAGAGACAUGGAAUACUAUCAGUAUGCAACAACAGCUAAGAUCUGCAUCGCUUAACUACAGAGACUUGCGCUUUUUACAACAUUUAAAAAGUUUGUGACAUUAAAUGGUGUUAUAUAACAUCAUGUUUCUUUCAACCAGUAGAUUACACUAGCAGCAAGCACUCAAACAACACAAAACCUCUUUCAUCUUCUUGUAAGUUUCAGUUUUUUUUUCCUUCUUGGGAGUAACAGAGGCUAUUAUUUAGUAUAAUUCUUGGCUUGCAGCCCGGUGCUUUGGGAAGAUUCCUGAUGACGGACCCAAGGCAUGCACACGGCCCUACACAGCAAACACAGGCCCUUCCCUUUGAUGGAAUCUUGUACUCAUUCAAGCUGGAAUCACUGAAACAUCUCAAACACAUUAUAAACUAAAGCUACUGAAAUUUAUUCUGAAUUUGAACUUGCCUUUAAAUAAACAUAUUACAGAUUCUAGCUUGAUUUAUACA
ensembl:lncRNA